rnacentral:misc_RNA from 1 species
CAACCCUCAGGGCCCCCCGAUCACGGGCGGCGCUGGUGUUGGGGAUCGGCAGUCCCAGCGGCUGCCGUCCCCGAAAUGUAGUGGCGGUCCCACCGUAACCUCCACUGUGCAGUACUUCGCUCGCAGAGGGAUAGCGGUGCGGCCACGCCGUAAAACGCCCAACUCUUCAA